UCUGUGUCAGAAAGUGAGGAGACAUCUGGAAGGGCCCUGAGAGGUAGCAGGAAUGUCUUGUGCACAGACUUCUGGUGGUUAUAUAAUACCAGCGGUGGGUUUUUCAAUCAAGAUAUGUGCUUGGACAAACAGGAGAAUACUUAAGAGAAGAACCAGGCAGAAUAAUAAAUACGGAAUUGUCUCAGACAGUCCUGGCCAUCUGGUCAACAAAAUUAAACCGCUUCAGAAAGUCCCUUAAAACUCCUCCUGGAAACUGUGGCCUUGGCUGUGUGCAGAAACAAUAUCCACCCCCACGCUGAGAAUGAGGCUGAGUACCUCCAUUCACGGAUUUCUAUCUGAUCUCCACAAUGGCUCCCAAGGGGACAAGUCAUUGUCCUGCUGAUUAUACCUGACAAGAAGCCCACUAUGGCCAAAGUAUGAUGUGGCUGACAAGGACACUGAACUGCCGCAGGCUGCAUUACCAGAAGUAUGGUGUCCAGAAAGAGGAAGGAGAACACCACUCUACAAUCCUCAGUCGACACCUGGAACGGUAAGUUCCAUCCUUGGAAAAACAGUUUAAAAGGAGGACAAGCAGACUGAGCCACAUUCAGAAGAGUCUGAUCCUGAAAGCAAUUGCACCUAAACAAUGUCCUCUGCAGAAAAACUGAGCAACUGAGGUUAUUGGGCUUGGAGAAGAGUGAAGUUUCUGGUGCCAUGUAGAAGUUGGGGUGUGUGGUGAGGAGACGGGAUAUAGUGGGUAUCCCUGAAGUUUGAAAUGGCUGUCUAGAGGAAGAAAGCAGUUCUUCAAUGUGAUAAUGAAUAGCUCUAUUCACUUAUAAGACUGGCAUAAGGAUGUUGCUAACUGUCAACAGAAAGAAAAACUUUGCAGUAUGUGGAAACCGUUCAUAGAUGGAAGUCUGCUUUGUGAGGUAGUGGGUUUCUUGUCUCCAGGAGAUAGAGUACAGUCAAGCAUUAGGACUCCGUGACUGUUAAAGUCCCUUCUGACCCCAAAUCCCACAAUUCAUCAAUAAAUUCACAAUCAUGAA